rnacentral:rRNA from 1 species
GGGUUGUGAGGUUAAGCGACUAAGCGUACACGGUGGAUGCCCUGGCAGUCAGAGGCGAUGAAGGGCGUGCUAAUCUGCGAUAAGCGCCGGUAAGGUGAUAUGAACCGUUAUAACCGGCGAUACCCGAAUGGGGAAACCCAGUGUGAUUCGUCACACUAUCAUUAACUGAAUCCAUAGGUUAAUGAGGCGAACCGGGGGAACUGAAACAUCUAAGUACCCCGAGGAAAAGAAAUCAACCGAGAUUCCCCCAGUAGCGGCGAGCGAACGGGGAGGAGCCCAGAGCCUGAAUCAGCAUGUGUGUUAGUGGAAGCGUCUGGAAAGGCGCGCGAUACAGGGUGACAGCCCCGUACACAAAAGCGCAUGUGCUGUGAGCUCGAUGAGUAGGGCGGGACACGUGGUAUCCUGUCUGAAUAUGGGGGGACCAUCCUCCAAGGCUAAAUACUCCUGACUGACCGAUAGUGAACCAGUACCGUGAGGGAAAGGCGAAAAGAACCCCGGCGAGGGGAGUGAAAAAGAACCUGAAACCGUGUACGUACAAGCAGUGGGAGCCCCACCACU